rnacentral:rRNA from 1 species
GUGUCAGCAGCCGCGGUAAUACGGGGGGGGCAAGCGUUGUUCGGAAUUACUGGGCGUAAAGGGCGCGUAGGCGGCCUUCUAAGUCAGACGUGAAAUCCCUCGGCUCAACCGAGGAACUGCGUCUGAUACUGGAAGGCUUGAAUUCGGGAGAGGGAUGCGGAAUUCCAGGUGUAGCGGUGAAAUGCGUAGAUAUCUGGAGGAACACCGGUGGCGAAGGCGGCAUCCUGGACCGAUAUUGACGCUGAGGCGCGAAAGCCAGGGGAGCAAACGGGAUUAGAUACCCCUGUAGUCC